rnacentral:rRNA from 1 species
AACUCUCAACAACGGAUAUCUUAGGCUCUCGCAACGAUGAAGAACGCAGCGAAAUGCGAUACGUAGUGUGAAUUGCAGAAUUCCGUGAAUCAUCGAAUCUUUGAACGCAUAUUGCGGUCGAAGGCUUCGGCCAAGACCAUGUCUUGCCUUCAGCGUCG